CACCGAUGUAUAAUCUUAUAGGCCUCUGCUGAUCCCUGCUUACUUACUUAACCACUUACAUGGUCGUAAUAGGAUAUCCCCAACAUUUUUUGUUUAUGCUUCAUUUUCAUAUCUAGAUUGAAGAAGUCUUAGAUCAGGGUAACUUUUACGGGGACAAUUUGAGAUUAUGACUGUAAACUGAGGACCUCGUGUGAUUUGUUUCAUUGCUCAAAGGAAGUAAAUCUUCAACUUGAUCUUCACAACCGAGGUGCUUGUGUUGUACCUUCCAAAGCGGUUGACAAAAACGCUAACUGAGAAGGAGCCGAAGAUUCCGCCGACGGAGAAAAUGGCAACGGCGAUGGACCAGAUGGCUUUGAGGGUGUUGUCCGAAAUGGGCGUCUGGUAACGUGCA